UACGGAGGGGGCUAGCGUUGUUCGGAAUUACUGGGCGUAAAGCGCACGUAGGCGGCUUUGUAAGUUAGAGGUGAAAGCCCAGGGCUUAACCCUGGAAUUGCCUUUAAGACUGCAUCGCUAGAAUCGUGGAGAGGUGAGUGGAAUUCCGAGUGUAGAGGUGAAAUUCGUAGAUAUUCGGAAGAACACCAGUGGCGAAGGCGACUCGCUGGACACGUAUUGACGCUGAGGUGCGAAAGCGUGGGGAGCAAACAGG
rnacentral:rRNA from 1 species